GUUCAGAAGAGCCACAUUUUGCCGUUCCGACUCUAAAGCAACUACAUUUCUCUACAGAGCACAGAACUGUAAGAAAUGGUCAAAUAUCACCAAGUGCACAAGACUCAAGACUGGCAUAGUAGAAGACAAAGGUGGAUAUAUGGGUUAUUCAAUCAACCUCCUAAUAUGGGCAUAAACUCCAGUGGCUUGGACUCUGAAGCAUGAUUCCUCAAAAUAAAGCAAACAGUUCCUCAUGACUUUAUAGAGUGAUUAAGCCAUUGGAAAUGCGUUGCACAAAAAGCGCCAUGCAGCACAACAUAGAAAAGAGCUCCAGUUAAUGUAACAUGUGGAGAAAGACAGUGUGGGUAUGCACUUAACUGUUUGGAGAAGCUCCUUAACUUUAAAAUCACGUAUUGAAACUAGGAUAUGUAAAAACUUCGAAUGAACUUCAAAUGAAGAAUAAUGACAUAAAUUAAUUAGGGCUGGAUAAAGAAUAAAAUACCACUUAUUUAAAAUGCAUGUACUAAGAAUUCAGAGGAGCAGAUAGGUUACACAUCUGAGGUGUGUUUCUUCAGGUUUCAAGAAAGCACUCUAUUUAGAAAUCAGUAGCAUGUUUUGGUUACAUUUGCAGAAUGGCAAUCCACUGUUUUCUUUUUUAAUUUGAUUGUGAUUCUAAUGUUUGCUAUGUCAAAGAGACUCUCAAGUGUUUUAAAAAUCCUUUUAUACAAACGUUUCUUUAUUUGGCUCUUAAUGUAGACCCAAUCAAACGAAAGAGCACUGAAUUUUGGGAAAGAAAAAAUUAAAAUAGAAUGUCAGUCUAAAUUAUUUUAAAUCUGUUGUGCUUAUCAAAUAUUUUUUAUUGAUUUAUAUGAUUUUUAGGCAUCAAUAUGGCAUUUCACAUGUAUACUACUGUUGAAAUUUUAUAUUAUAUUGCAACAUACUUGCAUAUUAUUUUAAUAAUAUGAGGAAAGAAUAAGACAGGUGAUUUACUAUGAGUUAGUUUUCUUAUUUUGUGUAAAGAGGAACUUUACGAAGGCCAAUUUUUUUCCACAGAAACUUCUUCCUUUAAGUAGAUACAGCUUGUCUGAAGUAUGAAUCUAUCAUUUAAAAAAAAUAGUUCAAGCCUGUUGAAGAGGCUUUAUUAUUUUUGCAACCUGCCCAAACAGAAUUUUAUAUUAUAUGAUAGCUUUGUUACUUGUCAAUAACCAUAUAAUUCAUUUAAACUUCAUUACUUGUCAAUAACCAUAUAAUUCAUUUAAAAGAGAAGAAACUAGGCAUUAAACAAAUAUCUUUACAGUAUUUAAAUUAAAAUGUAGCAUGCUGAUUUCUGACUAGGAAAAUGAAGAAUAAGUGCCAACAAGAGACACUUAAGAAACUGCUAUUACUUCUUUCAUCUUCCCAGAGAAUUAUCUGUUCUCUGCAUAUCAGAAUUUAGGCACAUCAUCUCCAAUUGUUUGUGUACCUAUCAAUCUAUCCUAAGAGAAUCCUAGGUCCUCCAAGAUAGAGACUAUUUUAUUAUGUUUUAUUUUUCCAGCAUACUCAACAUGUUGAAUGCAUGAAUAACUGUACAUAUGAAUGAGUGAGUACAGACAUAAUUUUCGUAAAGUUUAAAAAAUAUUUACGACCAUGAUUCAUGGUAAAAAAAAUACAUUUGUACAUCGGGAUGCAAAACAGAAGAGUGUGCAUACACAUACAAGAAAAAAACAAAAACAAAAGAGUUACAAAUCAAUAUUCAUCUUUACUCCAUGUACCACUCUCUGGUAUUUUCUAUUCAUAUCUAUUUCAUUGGAAAAAAUAAACUUCUUGGUGAACUAAAUUGAUUUUAUAAAUGAGUCAUAAACUGUAAUUUAGAAAACUAAUUUGUGGAAUAGAAAAACAUAUAAGAAUCAGCUUAUCCCUAAUUUAACUUAAAUACAGAAAACUAGUAAAUAUGAGGUAUAUUGACACUAUCCAUGUCAUAAAAUGUCCUGGAAAUAGUACAGAAAAGAUUCUUGAGGGUAAAUUUUUGAAGAAGGCUUCGGGGAAAAGUUUAACUCUACUUGAACCUUAGCAUUUUAGAAUUUUGAUUACAGAGAGAAGCUGAACAUUCAAAGGUGUAGAAGGUAAGAACAAAAGCAAGAAAAAACAGAAAUGAGUGUAAGAUGAGGAGGUAUGACAGCUGUAAAGAUCACAGAGUCAGGCUUGGAGAGAUAAAAUGUAUGAAUACUAGACUGAGGACUUUAUUAGGACCUCAAACAACAUUUUCUCUUUCUCUCUUUCCUCCUUCUCUCUCUCUUUCUUCCUUCCUUCCUUUCUUCCUUCUUUUUCUUUCU
rnacentral:lncRNA from 1 species